AAAAAAAAAAAAAAAAAAACAAUAGCAUUUUCAAAAAAAAAAAAACCAAAAUUACUACAGUAUGAAAUACAAACAAAGCAAGCAGUAUAAAUUUAACAUUAUCUCAGCUGCACACCCAAGCAAUACAUACAUGCAACAUGAAUUUUUGAUUCUCCGAAAACAUCAGUUGCACACCCAAGAGUCCAAGACCCAACCAAGCAACGCAACCAACAAAUGAAUAGACCCAACCAAGCAAAGCACCCAACAAAUCAAUCUUAGUCCCUUCAGUGUGGCCAUUGAAGCACAGUGAAGGGAAACAAAUCCACAUGCAAAGUGAAUCAAAUAGGCGAAUCCAUCCAAUGCUUUUGAUUUAGGGUGAGAUUAAACUGAAUUGAAGAAGAAAAUGCGGACUUUGAAGAAGAAGAAAAUGAUGAAACCAUUUGAAAAUUGGAUUAGGUGUUGUAUGUAUUAGUUUAAAAAAGAGGAAAUCGAAGAAGAUGAAGAAGAAAAACCACAGAAGGAGGAGGAAGGAGUGAAAGAGAUGGAGUGAAAGAGAUGUGGCAGCAGAGUGUAGGUUAGGAGGAAACCAUCUCCGAGGGAAAUGAAAAUAGGGUUAGGAAGGAAAUUAUAAUAUAUAUAGUUGCAUAAAACUACAUAGUUUUGUUACUUUGGUCAGUUCUUUUUUUUUUUUCCCUGGUUCCCGAUAAAACACCAAACUGAACUGAAAACCGAAACUAUUAAAAAUAAAUAACUGAACCACACCGAUCAGACCAAAAAACUGAACUAAUUGAACUGAAUUGGCUCGGUUCGGUUCCAUUCGUUUUGGUUUUCAGUUCAGACCGAAUACUGCUUAGGCCUACUUUCCAUAUUGCAAAAAAAAUACCCUAUUAAAGUUUUUCUUCAAAAAAAAAAGAAAAAAAAUUCAACGUUAAAUUCCAAUUCAUUCCAACAAAGAUUUAAUUCCCAAAGUGCCCCUAACUACUGAAAUCAUAAAACAGUUGGCUUGCAGCUGAGGAUGUAGGACAGAGUUGUGCAUCAAAAAAUGAGAGAAAGAAAGGAAGAAAAUUGUGUAAGUGGAGGAAAAGAAAGAAAGUAAUAGAAGAAUGAGGGCAUCUUCUAGACUCAAGAGAGAAAAAGAGAGAAGGAGGUAAUCAGAUCUGGAGUCUAGAUUCUUGAUUUGGCUUGAAGGGC
rnacentral:misc_RNA from 1 species